UACGUAGGGGGGCAAGCGUUGUCCGGAUUUAUUGGGCGUAAAGAGCGUGUAGGCGGCUAGGUAGGUCCGUUGUGAAAACUCGAGGCUCAACCUCGAGACGUCGAUGGAAACCAUCUAGCUAGAGUCCGGAAGAGGAGAGUGGAAUUCCUGGUGUAGCGGUGAAAUGCGCAGAUAUCAGGAAGAACACCAAUGGCGAAGGCAGCUCUCUGGGACGGUACUGACGCUGAGACGCGAAAAGCGUGGGGAGCGAACAGG
rnacentral:rRNA from 1 species